rnacentral:lncRNA from 1 species
AUGAGAGUUGUAAGGAGAAGCGUUUUAAUCACUUGUUUUCAACGGGGAUGUAAUGCAAUGAUUCUGCUAGUGGUCGGGCUUCCAAUGCUUACACAGGGUGAUAAACAACGCUGAUACGAACACAUGUGUUUCGAAAUAGGCUUUGUUCUUGGUUUAAUGAAGUUACACGUAACAUCUACUUAUAUUGAGAUUUAAACAAUGCCCGCCUCAACUGAGAUAACGGACAUCCAUCAAGCUCA